AUGAAAUCUUUGAGUGUUUCACUAGUGGUCCUGUGGCUUCAGCUACACAGGGUGAGGAGCCAGGAGAAGGUGCAGCAGAAUCCAGACAUCCUCAUCGUCGCAGAGGGAGCCACGGCCUCUUUCAACUGUACUUCCAGUGAUCGUAAUGUCGACUACUUCUGGUGGUACAGACAGCAUUCUGGGAAAGCCCCCAAGAUGUUGAUGUCCAUCAUCUCCAAUGGUGUAAAGGAAGAAGGCAGAUUCACAGCUCACUUCAAUAAAGCCAGCUUGCAUGUUUCCCUGCACAUCAAUGACUCUCAACCCAGCGACUCUGCUGUCUACCUCUGUGCAGUGAGCGCACAGUGCUCCCCAGCCACCUGCAGGCUGCACACAAACCUACUGUGCCCAAAAGACCUGAGACAGAACAAACAGUAUCCAGUGGAGACAUUCUGCUUCUAUUCUGUAUGCAAUAGGAAUUAA